AACCGGCAUUAGGGUGGACACGUCUUUCAUGGUAGACGUGUUAAGGCCCUUCCUGAGCCCGGUAAACCCGGACCCAGGGGUGCGUUAAACGCGUUAUCCAAUCUCCCUUUCCACAAGGAGGGAAAGCCCCAGAGAAAUUUGGGAUUAAUACCCUCUAAAGGCAUCAUAGACCCGGCAUUCGGGAAUAUGAUUAAAGUCACCAACGGGUGGAAGAUUGAGCCAUGCGUCCCCAUUAGCUAGUUGGUAAGGUAACGGCUUACCCAAGGCUACGAUGGGUAGGGGUCCUUGAGAGGGAGAUCCCCCCACACUGGUACUGAGACACGGACCCAGACUCCUACGGGAGGCAGCAGUGAGGAAUAUUGGUCAAUGGGCGCAAGCCUGAACCAGCCAUGCCGCGUGCAGGAUGACGGUCCUAUGGAUUGUAAACUGCUUUUGUACGGGAAGAAACCCUCCUACGUGUAGGAGCUUGACGGUACCGUAAGAAUAAGGAUCGGCUAACUCCGUGCCAGCAGCCGCGGUAAUACGGAGGAUCCAAGCGUUAUCCGGAAUCAUUGGGUUUAAAGGGUCUGUAGGCGGUCUUGUAAGUCAGUGGUGAAAGCCCAUCGCUCAACGGUGGAACGGCCAUUGAUACUGCUGGACUUGAAUUAUUGGGAAGCAACUAGAAUAUGUAGUGUAGCGGUGAAAUGCUUAGAGAUUACAUGGAAUACCAAUUGCGAAGGCAGGUUGCUACCAAUGGAUUGACGCUGAUGGACGAAAGCGUGGGUAGCGAACAGGAUUAGAUACCCUGGUAGUCCACGCCGUAAACGAUGGAUACUAGCUGUUGGGCGCAAGUUCAGUGGCUAAGCGAAAGUGAUAAGUAUCCCACCUGGGGAGUACGAACGCAAGUUUGAAACUCAAAGGAAUUGACGGGGGCCCGCACAAGCGGUGGAGCAUGUGGUUUAAUUCGAUGAUACGCGAGGAACCUUACCAAGGCUUAAAUGCAGACUGACCGGUUUGGAAACAGACCUUUCGCAAGACGGUCUACAAGGUGCUGCAUGGUUGUCGUCAGCUCGUGCCGUGAGGUGUCAGGUUAAGUCCUAUAACGAGCGCAACCCCUGUUGUUAGUUGCCAGCGAGUCAUGUCGGGAACUCUAGCAAGACUGCCAGUGCAAACUGUGAAGAAAGGUGGGGAAUGACGUCAAAUCAUCACGGGCCCUUAACGCCUUGGGCUACACACGUGGCUACAAGGGCCGGUACAGAGAAGCAGCCACCCCCCGAAGGGGGAACGAAUUCUAUAAAGCCGGGCACAAGUUUCGGAUCGGAAUCUGGCAACUUCCACUCCCGGGAAACUUGGAAUCGCUAGAAAUCCGGAUAUUCACCCAUGGACCCGGGGAAAAACGUUCCCGGGCCUUGGAACACACCCCCCCUCAAACCCAUAGAAACGGGGGGGGGCCCAAAAACGGUGACCGCAAGGAGCUGCGUACGUAAAAAGGCCC
rnacentral:rRNA from 1 species